rnacentral:rRNA from 1 species
GAUGAACGCUGGCGGCGUGCCUAAUACAUGCAAGUCGAGCGAACAGACGAGGAGCUUGCUCCUCUGACGUUAGCGGCGGACGGGUGAGUAACACGUGGAUAACCUACCUAUAAGACUGGGAUAACUUCGGGAAACCGGAGCUAAUACCGGAUAAUAUAUUGAACCGCAUGGUUCAAUAGUGAAAGACGGUUUUGCUGUCACUUAUAGAUGGAUCCGCGCCGCAUUAGCUAGUUGGUAAGGUAACGGCUUACCAAGGCAACGAUGCAUAGCCGACCUGAGAGGGUGAUCGGCCACACUGGAACUGAGACACGGUCCAGACUCCUACGGGAGGCAGCAGUAGGGAAUCUUCCGCAAUGGGCGAAAGCCUGACGGAGCAACGCCGCGUGAGUGAUGAAGGUCUUCGGAUCGUAAAACUCUGUUAUUAGGGAAGAACAAAUGUGUAAGUAACUAUGCACAUCUUGACGGUACCUAAUCAGAAAGCCACGGCUAGCUACGUG